rnacentral:lncRNA from 1 species
UGAUCGUGUUGGUAAGAGAGAAAAAAUCAAGGGUCAAUCAACUUAAAGCUAAGUUUCAUAUAUACGAAAAAGAAGUCCAAUGAGAGUUAUUCUAUUGCUAAUCUAAUUCUAUAUAACACUCGGUCUAAUUUUAUUUUAAUUUCGUAUUAAUAGAUUGGUUUACUUAUAACGGAUUACAUGUUGAUUUAGUAUAAGUUGUCCGGUUUUAUUGUCAUAGU